GCCAGCCAAGCGGUGCGGAUCCGCCGGGCUGCAGGAAGAACUAACUUGAUACAUGGAAUAGAAAUGCACUCCAGGCAUGCUGGGAUACAGAGGAAAACUAUGUGCCCAUGGAGGUGAUUCCUACAAGAAUUUACUGAGGAGAGGGAUCUGGUGAGCAAUCCAGAAAAAGGGUUCUAGGUUCCUUCCUGAGGGUUCCUCACAGGCCGCCUUCAGAGACGGAGGAGGCAGCAUCCACGAAAUAAGCCCAAAUCUGUGCCUCUUCCACACGAACAUUGCACACACUGUUCUAGAACCUGGUGUGGCUCCACAAGGAAGAGCCCCUGCUAGGCGAGCAGCCACACAGAAUGCAGGUAUGCCUGGGCCCUGAGAAGGAUGGCUUUGCCUUUUGGCCUGGUCUUUUGUUGGCUGGCAAGCAUUUUGUUUUCCAGAGAGGAGCCUUCACUCAUCUUGAGUAGGGAAGAAUGAGCCAGGGCCUGUGAGGCACAUGGAGAUACUUGUCUGAAGGAUUUGGCUGGCUCUUAGAAAUCACCGCUCAGAUGCCUGAAGCAGAGGCAGAAACACCUGCAGUGG
rnacentral:lncRNA from 1 species